GACGAACGCUGGCGGCGUGCCUAACACAUGCAAGUCGAGCGGGGUUGAAGCGAGGGGUAACUCGAGUUUCUACCUAGCGGCGGACGGGUGAGUAACGCGUGGGCAACCUGCCUCAAGGACUGGGAUAACAGCUCGAAAGGGCUGCUAAUACCGGAUAAGCCUAUGGCCUCGCAUGGGGCCAUGAGCAAAGGGGAAACCCGCCUUGAGAUGGGCCCGCGUCCCAUCAGCUAGUUGGUGAGGUGAAGGCUCACCAAGGCGACGACGGGUAGCCGGCCUGAGAGGGUGACCGGCCACACUGGGACUGAGACACGGCCCAGACUCCUACGGGGGGCAGCAGUGGGGAAUCUUGCACAAUGGGCGAAAGCCUGAUGCAGCGACGCCGCGUGAGCGAAGAAGGCCUUCGGUUGUAAAGCUCUGUCUGGAGGGACGAAGGAAGUGACGGUACCUCCGGAGGAAGCCACGGCUAACUACGUGCCAGCAGCCGCGGUAAAACGUAGACGUGG
rnacentral:rRNA from 1 species